rnacentral:rRNA from 1 species
UACGAAGGGUGCAAGCGUUACUCGGAAUUACUGGGCGUAAAGGGUGCGUAGGUGGUUUGUUAAGUCCGUUGUGAAAUCCCUGGGCUCAACCUGGGAAUGGCAGUGGAUACUGGCAAGCUAGAGUGCGGUAGAGGGUAGUGGAAUUCCCGGUGUAGCAGUGAAAUGCGCAGAUAUCGGGAGGAACACCAGUAGCGAAGGCGACACUCUGGGCCGGUACUGACGCUGAGGAGCGAAAGCGUGGGGAGCAAACAGG